AUUCCCACUGGAACAAUAUUCAGUCAUAAAAAGUAGUGAAGUACUAACAUAUGCUAUAACAUGAUGAACCUUAGAAACAUUACACUAAGUGAAAAACGCCCGUCACAAAAGGCCAAACGUUGUGUGAUUCCAUAUAUGAAAUGUCCAGAAAAGGCAAAUCCAUAAAAACAAAAAGCAGAUUACUAGUUACCAGGGACUGGCGGUGGGGGGAAAGGAGAGGAUGGGGGGGUGACUGCUAAUGGGUAUGGAGUUUCUCUUUGGUGUGAUGAAAAUAUUCUAAAAUUAAUUACGAUUAUGAUUGUACAACUCCAUGAAUAUGCUAAAUUAAAUCAUUGAAUUGUAU